CCUACGGGGGGCAGCAGUGGGGAAUAUUGGACAAUGGGGGCAACCCUGAUCCAGCCAUGCCGCGUGUGUGAAGAAGGCCCUCGGGUUGUAAAGCACUUUCAGUGAGGAAGAACGCCUGGUGGUUAAUACCCAUCAGGAAAGACAUCACUCACAGAAGAAGCACCGGCUAACUCCGUGCCAGCAGCCGCGGUAAUACGGAGGGUGCGAGCGUUAAUCGGAAUUACUGGGCGUAAAGCGCGCGUAGGUGGCUUGAUAAGCCGGGUGUGAAAGCCCCGGGCUCAACCUGGGAACGGCAUCCGGAACUGUCAAGCUAGAGUGCAGGAGAGGAAGGUAGAAUUCCCGGUGUAGCGGUGAAAUGCGUAGAGAUCGGGAGGAAUACCAGUGGCGAAGGCGGCCUUCUGGACUGACACUGACACUGAGGUGCGAAAGCGUGGGUAGCAAACAGGAUUAGAUACCCGAGUAGUC
rnacentral:rRNA from 1 species